rnacentral:rRNA from 1 species
GUGCAACAGUCGCGAAACCUUCGCAAUGCGGGAAACCGCGACGAGGGGACUCCCAGUGCCUACGCUCAGCGUAGGCUGUUCCCGAGCCUAGAAAGCUCGGGGAGUAAGGGCUGGGUAAGACGGGUGCCAGCCGCCGCGGUAAUACCCGCAGCCCGAGUGGUGGCCACUAUUGUUGGGCCUAAAGCGUCCGUAGCCGGCCCGGUAAAUGCCUGGGUAAAUCGUGAGGCCUAACCUCACGAAUUCCGGGUAGACUGCCGGGCUAGGGACCGGAGGAGGGAGAGGGUACUCCAGGGGUAGGGGUGAAAUCCUGUAAUCCCUGGAGGACCACCGGUGGCGAAGGCGCUCUCCUAGGACGGGUCCGACGGUGAGGGACGAAAGCCAGGGGAGCGAACCGGAUUAGAUACCCCUGU